rnacentral:rRNA from 1 species
AUACGUAGCCGACCUGAGAGGGUGAUCGGCCACACUGGAACUGAGACACGGUCCAGACUCCUACGGGAGGCAGCAGUAGGGAAUCUUCCGCAAUGGGCGAAAGCCUGACGGAGCAACGCCGCGUGAGUGAUGAAGGUCUUCGGAUCGUAAAACUCUGUUAUCAGGGAAGAACAAAUGUGUAAGCAACUGUGCACAUCUUGACGGUACCUGAUCAGAAAGCCACGGCUAACUACGUGCCAGCAGCCGCGGUAAUACGUAGGUGGCAAGCGUUAUCCGGAAUUAUUGGGCGUAAAGCGCGCGUAGGCGGUUUUUUAAGUCUGAUGUGAAAGCCCACGGCUCAACCGUGGAGGGUCAUUGGAAACUGGAAAACUUGAGUGCAGAAGAGGAAAGUGGAAUUCCAUGUGUAGCGGUGAAAUGCGCAGAGAUAUGGAGGAACACCAGUGGCGAAGGCGACUUUCUGGUCUGUAACUGACGCUGAUGUGCGAAAGCGUGGGGAUCAA